GGCUUAGAGUUUGAUCAUGGCUCAGGAUGAACGCUAGCGACAGGCUUAACACAUGCAAGUCGAGGGGCAGCACAGGUAGCAAUACCGGGUGGCGACCGGCGCACGGGUGAGUAACGCGUAUGCAACUUACCUAUCAGAGGGGGAUAACCCGGCGAAAGUCGGACUAAUACCGCAUGAAGCAGGGGCCCCGCAUGGGGAUAUUUGCUAAAGAUUCAUCGCUGAUAGAUAGGCAUGCGUUCCAUUAGGCAGUUGGCGGGGUAACGGCCCACCAAACCGACGAUGGAUAGGGGUUCUGAGAGGAAGGUCCCCCACAUUGGUACUGAGACACGGACCAAACUCCUACGGGAGGCAGCAGUGAGGAAUAUUGGUCAAUGGGCGUAAGCCUGAACCAGCCAAGUCGCGUGAGGGAUGAAGGUUCUAUGGAUCGUAAACCUCUUUUAUAAGGGAAUAAAGUGUGGGACGUGUCCUAUUUUGUAUGUACCUUAUGAAUAAGGAUCGGCUAACUCCGUGCCAGCAGCCGCGGUAAUACGGAGGAUCCGAGCGUUAUCCGGAUUUAUUGGGUUUAAAGGGUGCGUAGGCGGCCUUUUAAGUCAGCGGUGAAAGUCUGUGGCUCAACCAUAGAAUUGCCGUUGAAACUGGGGGGCUUGAGUAUGUUUGAGGCAGGCGGAAUGCGUGGUGUAGCGGUGAAAUGCUUAGAUAUCACGCAGAACCCCGAUUGCGAAGGCAGCCUGCCAAGCCAUGACUGACGCUGAUGCACGAAAGCGUGGGGAUCAAACAGGAUUAGAUACCCUGGUAGUCCACGCAGUAAACGAUGAUCACUAGCUGUUUGCGAUACAGUGUAAGCGGCACAGCGAAAGCGUUAAGUGAUCCACC
rnacentral:rRNA from 1 species